AGUGAACGCUGGCGGUAGGCCUAACACAUGCAAGUCGAACGGCAGCACAGUAAGAGCUUGCUCUUACGGGUGGCGAGUGGCGGACGGGUGAGGAAUACAUCGGAAUCUACUUUUUCGUGGGGGAUAACGUAGGGAAACUUACGCUAAUACCGCAUACGACCUACGGGUGAAAGCAGGGGAUCUUCGGACCUUGCGCGAUUGAAUGAGCCGAUGUCGGAUUAGCUAGUUGGCGGGGUAAAGGCCCACCAAGGCGACGAUCCGUAGCUGGUCUGAGAGGAUGAUCGGCCACACUGGAACUGAGACACGGUCCAGACUCCUACGGGAGGCAGCAGUGGGGAAUAUUGGACAAUGGGCGCAAGCCUGGUCCAGCCAUACCGCGUGGGUGAAGAAGGCCUUCGGGUUGUAAAGCCCUUUUGUUGGGAAAGAAAAGCAGCAGGUUAAGACCCCGCUGUUCUGACGGUACCCAAAGAAUAAGCACCGGCUAACUUCGUG
rnacentral:rRNA from 1 species